rnacentral:rRNA from 1 species
GUACACUCCUGCGGGAGGCAGCAGUGGGGAAUUUUGGACAAUGGGCGAAAGCCUGAUCCAGCAAUGCCGCGUGAGUGAAGAAGGCCUUCGGGUUGUAAAGCUCUUUUGUCAGGGAAGAAACGGUGAGAGCUAAUAUCUCUUGCUAAUGACGGUACCUGAAGAAUAAGCACCGGCUAACUACGUGCCAGCAGCCGCGGUAAUACGUAGGGUGCAAGCGUUAAUCGGAAUUACUGGGCGUAAAGCGUGCGCAGGCGGUUUUGUAAGUCUGAUGUGAAAUCCCCGGGCUCAACCUGGGAAUUGCAUUGGAGACUGCAAGGCUAGAAUCUGGCAGAGGGGGGUAGAAUUCCACGUGUAGCAGUGAAAUGCGUAGAUAUGUGGAGGAACACCGAUGGCGAAGGCAGCCCCCUGGGUCAAGAUUGACGCUCAUGCACGAAAGCGUGGGGAGCAAACAGGAUUAGAUACCCGAGUAGUCCCAUG